AGUUGAUUUUGCUCACAAAAGGGACCUUGUAUUUUUCUGAAUGUUUCUGCAGGAGGCCGUGAACGUGUCCCUCGCCAACCUCAAGACUUACCCCUUCGUCAAGGAACGGCUGGCCAAAGGGACCCUCAAGCUGGUCGGCGCCCACUACGACUUCGUGUCCGGGAAGUUCCUCACAUGGGAGCCUGUAGGGUUCAUAACCUUCAUCCUUACAUUUUCAAUUGUACAUACUGUAUCUGAGACCACAUGGUUUUACCUCCUGGCACACUCCAGAUCCAAACUUCCUAUCCAUUUUCUCUCCUUCCUUGCCAUCGCAAUUAAUUUCUUUCUAAGAAGAACAAAAUCACCACCAAAUCCAACCACAACACUUGAAAUCCGCCCCAUGCAUAGCACUUGAAACCAGCCCCAACAUCUUAAUUGACCUACUUCUCAUCUUCUUCGGAUAUAAGAAGAUUGAACCCUAUCUCCACCGCAAAUACAUAUAUCGCGUUCACCCGCUACAAACUUCUAGUCCAGUUGUCGCCUGGUCCUCUAUCCGCUUCAAUUAGGCUUGCCGUUGCAUCGAAUUUCUAACCUCGUUGGUGCACCAGGCUCGUCUGUGGUGAUGGAUAUGAGGCCAUGGCCAUCGAGGUCCAUCUACCACAAAGAUGCCACUGCCUUUUUCCAUGGCCACCAUGGUUUGCCGAAUCAGUUGUCCCCCGAGGAAGCAAUCAUCAUGUUGGAGUCGUUCUUCUCUACAAAACGUGCUCAAGUAGCCAUCGACAUUCCGCUUAAGCGAUAUAUAUUGUCCACAAAAGCUGUGCUUGACCGUUACUCAUUUUUCAUCAAAUCCCGCGUUGUGCGGUGUCUCUUUCUCUCACUAAAACGAUUGCACAUGUCAUCAUGUUGAUGUUGCUAGUAAUCUAGACAAUGGGGCAGCUCAAAAGGUGAACGAGAGAGAUAUAGAGAGAAAGGGAGGGAGGGAGGGCCACACCGCAUCUAUCCAUCUGACUAUAAGGGGGCAAAAGAAGAAAAGAGGAGAAGAUGAGAAGUUGCAUUUGCCUCCCUGUUAUAUAUCAAAGGAGGGUCAAUGAAGCCGUCCAUAGAUUCCCACACCUCGUCACUCCUUGAGAACCAGAAGCCCACCCCAUCCAGUCCAAGGUCCGUUCCCUCAUCCUCCUCCCUCACCCUCGCCAUCAUCCUUCACAUAGCACACACAGUAAUCUUUGUCCGUCCCUCUGUUUUCUUUUCCUCUAUUGCCAUCAUGAGCCUGCAACUUCUGCUUUCUCCCUAUGUUGUAUUGUGUUGGUGCAAAGAAGAUCCAUCUUCCCCUUUUUGAUCAUAUUUUAUGCAUGCUUUCCUUAUGGUCCGUGGCAAGGAGGCCAAGCAUUGGCAUCAUGCCCCUUCUAUCUCUCUCUACCCCCUCAUGCCCCUUCUCUUUCUCUCUCUACCCCCGUCAUGCUGCAUCACGAUCAUGAGUAUGCAAGUUGGUCUUUCCGGGAUGGCAAAAUGACCGAUGGUUUUCUGGUUGUUGGUCUUGUAGGUGAUGGACGCCGUUGACCGCUUGAAGAGCGGGUUCGAGCAGUUCAAGAUCGAGGUCUAUGAGUAAGUCAUCUCUCUACUUAGAGCUGUUGUUUUUUUAAUUUGUAGCACCCAUGUUUGGUUUAAUAUUUUCAGUUUCAACCACUUGAUUUAUUUUGGGAAUUCUGAGAGCUCCGACUGAUACUGCCAUGUUGUCUUUUUUCUGCAGCAAGAAGCCAGAGCUUUUUGAGCCUCUCAAAUCUGGCCAGGCCCCCAGGGUAUGUGUAGGGAUGAAAAUGGAUCAAAUUUGUAUAGAAUCAAAUCCAUAUAUCACCUCUUAACACAUUUUUAUUCAAAUUCAGUUAUUGGAUACAUAUACUUUUGAAUACAAAUAUAAAACAAAUGUCUUGAAUCUGUAUUUCUAUUCAAAGAUUUACUCAAUUCAACUCAAAUUGUAUAUUGCUAAAUUCAACGUACAUGUAUACAAUUUUACUACUAAAUUCAUCGAUAAACCUUUUUUGCUUUAUCAAUUUUUUAGGUUUACAAACUAUUAUAUUGAAACAUUUGUGUAUAUAAUUUAAAAUGAAUGGUGACAGCUUGUCGCCAUUAGCGGCCAAUUGGCAAGUACUAGUAGUAGUCUGUUGGAUAUAAUCCCUCCAUCCUAAAUAUAUGCAGAAAUCAUCUAUUGAGGAGUAAUUCUUUUUUUCAGUUUAACUAAAAGUAUAAUUUAUUUCGAAAAAAUACUAAAUGCUCAAUCUAAUGAUAUUUAUUAUACACUAUAAACAUUAAUAUAUUUUUAAUAUAAAUAUAAUUAAAAUUUAAAAAUUUGAAGUUUCAUAAAGCGAGAUGUACAGUUAUUUUGGGACAAAAGAAAUAGUCCUAUAAUUAUUUUGUACUACAAAAGUCUGCUCCAUAGGGCACAAGCUUCAACUUUGGCACUACUAGUCAUAGGCUCAUUGCGCAAAGAAAUGGUGGUGGGAGUGGGAUACAUACAUGCUCCUUCUUUUCCCGAUCGAUCGACCUGAUGCUGAUUAUUUUCCUCUGCUGCAUGCAUGCAGUACAUGGUGUUCGCCUGCGCUGACUCCCGUGUGUGCCCGUCGGUGACCCUGGGCCUGAUGCCCGGCGAGGCCUUCACCGUCCGCAACAUCGCCGCCCUGGUCCCAGGCUACGACAAGGUACGUACACACUGACCGUCGUCGCCGACGACACAAAAUGGCCGUCUAUUUCUCCUCGGCCCGGCCGGCCGCCGCCGGCCGGGCAUGACAGAGGAUCGAGGACUGACACGGCCGCGCCUUUCGUAUUCGUCACCUGCAGACCAAGUACACCGGCAUCGGGUCCGCCAUCGAGUACGCCGUGUGCGCCCUCAAGGUGCAGGUGCUCGUCGUCAUUGGCCAUAGCUGCUGCGGUGGCAUCAGGGCGCUCCUCUCCCUCCAGGACGGUGCACCUGACAACUUGUAAGACGCCACCGUAAAAUAUACAAAGUUUCAUUAAGAUAAAACAAAAAUUCUUUUGUACCUCUAUGAUGAUUUUGAUCCCAGCGCAUUUUUAUCUGUUGUUUUUUUUGUGGUGUAUCCAGCCACUUUGUUGAGGACUGGGUCAAGAUUGGCUUCCCUGCCAAGAUGAAGGUGAAGAAAGAGAACGCUUCGGUGCCGUUCGAUGACCAAUGCUACAUUCUAGAGAAGGUAUGUACACCGUACAUGCACGAGCAGUUAGUUGCUGCAUGAAUGGAUUAAUUUUUGCUCACCGGAGAACCUUGUAUUUCUGAAAAUGUUUCUGCAGGAGGCCGUGAAUGUGUCCUUGGAGAACCUCAAGACCUACCCAUUCGUCAAGGAAGGGCUGGCCAACGGUACCUUAAAGCUGGUCGGCGGCCACUAUGACUUCGUGAAAGGAGAGUUCCUCACAUGGAAAGUCUAGAGCUAAGGCACCCGGACGGCCCAACUCCUACAUCAUCAUAAAUUUAUACCACAUAUAUACCUACCGAUAUGCACCCGAUCGAUGCGAAUGCGCGGAGUACUACAUGCAUGUUUUCAGCAACUACAUAUAUACAUACCGGAUCGCCCCAAUGUGAAUGUAAUAAGCAAUAGCAUUUUCAACCGCUUUCAUUUCUAACGCCGAGCUUUUAUGUACUAUAUAUAUAAUAUGAUGCAUAAUUGACCGGCUUGUGGUCAAAAGACAUCAACUAUAAUCCUUUUUUCAUAAUAUUGUUAUGAAGAGUUUACCUCUUUUUUUUGUCAUUAACGGAUCCAGAGAAACAGGCCAGGAGGGCAACACGCCAACACCCUCCGUCCUAAAAUAGAGUGCAUUCUGACAUUUAAGAUGUGUCCCAAAAUAUAGUACAUUCAAGGAACAUGAAGAUAAUAUUUACUUAAAUAAAGUUACGGAAGAGGAAAGUAAUUGAGUGCUUACUAUAUUUUCUAUAAGAAAACUUAGAUUGCAACCUUUAAUCAUACGAAUAAGAUCAUAUUUCAAUAUAUUAGAAAGUUAAGUGAGUAGUACAUGCGUCUAUUGUUUUUUCUCUCUCUCUCUUAUUUUGUCUUAAAUAGCCAUAACGCACUGUAUUGCAGAGCGGAGGGAGUACUUUGGAAGCAUCAAGAGCAAAAUCCAAGGAUGGAAAGCCCCAUAUGAACAACUAAGAUGAUAACUAGAAAUCAUACUCGCCAUACACGAGUACUUUGGAAGCAAGAAGAGCAAAAAUCCAAGGAUAGAAAGCCCCAUAUAAACAACUAAGAUGAUAACCAGAAUUCAUACUCGCCAUACACCAAUAGAUCUAACAAACAGCACUCAAUUCAAAAUGCUUAAUUAGACAAUACAUCAUUAAUGAUAGAAAGGUACUUAAUAAAUAGCUUCCGAUAAUUAAAUGAUCAAAUAUGUUUCACAAUUUCACACCACUUGAACAAGCAUCCUCCAAUCUACAUACAAAAUAAAAUAUCAUGGUUCUUCAAACAACAUGAUAAUAUUAUGGAUUGAAAUGAACUUAUACAACACACACCUUGGUCCCUUGUGUGGCAAAUUUAUCUACAAAUUCUUAAGACCUGUAAGCGGUUACACACUGUCCACACAUGUUCUACGCUUUAAUCAAUUUGAUUGGUUAUCAAACCAUUAUUGAACAAAACCUCUUGAUUAACUUUUAGUUUUACUCUCUUUUGUUGUUCUUUUAGUUUUACCCUCUUUCGUCUAGAGACGACGACUCCUUUCCCUAUUUCUCGCGAGGAUUCCUCUAUUAGGGGACAGAGAUAAGACCAAAUUAACCCCCAUAGGUAACUAAACAGAACCAAAUCUAUCCACUUGUAUCUACUGGGGCUGGGGCCGGGAAGCUUUCCUCGUACCUGCUCCUUGUCAAGCCCUCUUUAGCCGACUCUUCAUCUAGCUAUCAAUCUGACACAAUUGCAUCCAUCCAUCUUUGAUUCUUAUCUUAUACUAGAUAAUGGCUCGUGUAUUGUUGUGCACACACAAAAUUUUAAUCGAAUAACUUUUUUUACCAAAAUGAACUAAAAUAAACUUUUAUAUAGGUAUAAAAUUUAAAUUCAGCAUGACAUAGAAUUACCUAUAUUUCAAGUUUUGAGAUCCUUUGCAAUUGAAAAAAAAGGUAUUACACUUUAAUAAACCGUACGUAUCCACAUAUUGUGUUUUGGUGGGGUUCGAAGCAGAAUCCAUGGUGACCUUUGUGUUACAAGCAUUUUAACACCGACCUAGAUAUCAAAAAUCAAGUCCAAAAUAGUAAAAUUGACCAUAACAGUUGGAAUAAAAACGCAGCUUUAGCUUGAAAUAACUUGCAGGUAUUCAUGAUCAGAUUGAUCAAGAUAUUCAUGAUCAAGGAACGCACAAGGAAAAUGCUGAGUACAACCAAACUUGUACAGUUGUACUUAAGUAACAAUGACCUAUACAAUUGACUUAUACCAUUGACUUUUACCUGUACAGUUGCAAUCAAGUAUGGUACUUAUUUGAAAACAUAGCAAUCCAUUUCAAUGUAAAUGUAUUGAACCUUGAAAAAUAAUUUCGAGGAUUACAUAGUACAACAUAGACGUCUACAACAUGCACGCAUACUCACACUAAUGAAUACACAUACGCAAACCAUACUCAUAUGAGCAUCUCCGAAGAAUUAAGCUGACAGAUCAUCUCGAGAUUCACAAAGUCAUUAAAGGCGUCUCGUUCUCGACGGGGACGUCACCUACCACUGGAAACAUAGCGUCGUUAAAUCUUGAAAUAAAUUUAGAAAAACAUGAGCACCCAUGCUAAGUCGACGAGGUGUUUGGGACUGCUCUGCUCCACUUUUUUCAGCUCCGCUCCACGUUUUUUAGCCAAACGGUUUCAGCUCCACGCACUGAGUUCGAGAAAAAAAAGUGGAGUUGUGAGAGCACCUAAAGAGGUACUCCACGAACUCCAGUUUUUUGUAGAGCUACUUCAUAGUGGAGUUUGUGAAGCAGAGUUCGUGGAGCAGUGCCAAACACCCCCUUAAACCUAGAUGGACAAGUUAACGUGAAAAAAUAGUUUAAUUUGCACUCCAGUCUUAUAGAUUUUUUUUGCGAGGACCAAUCUUAUAGAUCUAUAGUAAUUGAUUUUAUCUAGACAAUGUCUAAUAUUGCCACGUAGAACAAAUUAGCACCACCAGCAGAGAAACUUUAGAAAGAAGAUAUAUAAAUCAUAAGUUAUUCUAACUUUUUAAGUCAAAGCAUAUUAGUUGACCAAUUUUAUAGAAAAAUCUUAAAAGUUUUAUGAUAUUAAAUAGGUAUAUUAUAAAAAUAUAAUUAAUAAAAAUUUUAAUAAUACUUAUUUAAUAUUAUAAAGGUUUUAUAUUAUAUAAUAAAUUUUGUUAGAUUUGAGGUGAGUUGGAAUAAGUUAUAAUUUAGAAUGGAUAUUGUAGCUAGUAGAAGUACUCCCUCUAUUCUUGAAAGAUACAAUUUCUAGAGUUGUCUUAAAUCAAACUUUUAAAACUUUAACCGAAUUUCUAGAAAAAAGGUUAAGAUUUAUAGUAGUAAAUUGAUACCAUUAGAUCUAUCAUAGAAUAUAUUUUUAUAAAAUACUUAUUUUAUGAUAUAAAUAUUGAUGCUUUUUUGUAAAGAUCAUUAAAUUUUAAAAAAAUUAACCAACACGAAUUCUAGAAGUUGAAACUUUCAAUAAGGUCUUGUUUAGUUCACCCCAAAAACCAAAAUCUUUUCAAGAUUCCCCGUCACAUCGAAUCUUAUGGUACAUGCAUGGAGUAUUAAAUAUAGAUAAAAAUAAAAACUAAUUGUACAGUUUACCUGUAAAUCACGAGAUGAAUCUUUUAAGCCUAGUUACUCUACGAUUGGAUAAUGUUUGUCAAAUAAAAACGAAAAUACUACAGUUCCGAAAAUUUUUCAGUUUUCGAAACUAAACAAGGGCUAAAGAGUAGUGUUUAUGACAAAAGGAAAAAAAAAAAGAUCGGCACUUGGCACCCGGCCACCCGCCCUCCACCCUAGGCCCGACGCGACCCGACCCCCACCUAGACCGGUCUCGGUCGGACUCUCGGCGUCUCUCGCCACGCGCGGGCGCGCCGCAAACAGUCCUCCGCCCGCCGUCGUACCACCCCCACCCGUGCUUCCUCCGUCGGUUGGCUGCAACAAGUCGGCAGCGCCGCGCCCGCCUCCCGACGCCCCAAGCCCCCAAUCGCUCCUCCUCCAUUUCCCACCCAUCCAGAAGUCCGCCGGCGCAGAGGGACCAGGGUUCGCCGCCAGCAGAUGCAGUUGCAGGAGCAGGGUUCGCCGCCAGCGCCAGUAGACGCAGGAGCUCGGCGGAUCCACAUCGGAGGCGAGCUGAUCCUCUACAGAAGGUGCCCCGCUGCUCCUCCCGUAGUCCUGCUGCUCCCGUAUUUGAUUAAUUUCUCCGGCUGCGAAUCGACUCAUGGGGGAAGAAACAGUUUUAGACGACAACGCCCUGGCUUUCUCGGCGGGUACGUAAUCCCCGUCCAGGGACGGGGAUGGGGAUGGGGUGAAAGUGAAAAACCCUCCCCUGCGAGGUUUUACGGGGACGAGGACGGGGAUGGGGAAGCGUUCCCCGACGGCGAAUUUCCCGUUGCCAUCCGCUCGUCUGUGAUGCUGGAUACGACGAGGCCAUGGCCAUCGAGGCCCAUCUACCACAACGACGACGGCACUGCCUUUCUUCCAUGGCCACCCGUGGUUUCGCUGAAUCAGUGGUCCCAAACUGUCAUUUUGGAGUCGUUAUUUCUCCUCCUCCAAAACGCGAGGAGUAGCCAUCGACAUUCCGCUCGCUCAGGCGUUUAAUUUUGUCCACAAAAGCCGGGAUCAGCCGUUACUGGGCGUCUCUUUCUCUCGCUGAAACGAUUGCACGUGUCCUGUUGCUAGUAAUAAACUGGACAACGAGCGGGGCAGCUCAACAAGAGGCACAGCCAAACGAGAGAGAGAGAGAGGAGAGGAGAAAGGGAGGGAGGGCCGCCGCGCAUCCAUCCGUCCGGAGAUAAGAGGGGAGUGGAAGAAAAGAGGAGAAGAUGAGCAGCUGACUUUGCCUCCCCCGUUAUAAAAGGGAGGAGGGGGCAGGGAGGAAGCCGUCCAUAGAUUCCUCCGCCUCGUCACUCCACUCCUUGAGAUUUGAGAACCACAAGGGCCACCCCCCACCCACCCUCCAAGGUCCGUCCCCUCCUCCUCCUCCUCCUCCCUCACCUUCAGCACCAUCCUCUCCAUUCCUCCACACAGCAAUAUCUGUCAAUCCCCCCCGUUUUGUUUUCCUCUGUUGCAAUCAGUAGCGUGUACCCUGUAGCUGUAGCUUCCACUUUCUUGCUGUGUCGUACUGUGAUGGUGCAAAGAAGAUUCCUGUUCCCCCUUUUAGAUCACCUUUGUGCAUGCCUUUUCUUGUGGUCCGUGGGCAAGGAAGGAGGCCGAAAAUUGCAUCAAUGCCCCUCCCUUCUCUCUCUGUCUAUACCCCCUCAUACUGCAUCACGAUCAAGAGCAUGUAUGCAAGUUGGUCUUUCUAGGGAUGGCGAACUGACCGGCGAUUUUCUGGUUAUUCGUCCUGCAGGACAUGGCGGACGCCGUCGACCGCUUGAAGACCGGGUUCAACAAGUUCAAGACCGAGGUCUAUGAGUAAGUCAUCUCUCUACUCGAUCAGAGAGCUGUUGCUUUCUGCAGCCCCGGCGUUUGGUUUAAUCGUUUCAGUUUCAACCCCAUGGUGCUUGCUUUUUUUUUUGGGGGGAACUCUGAGAGCUCCGACUGAUCCUGUGCCUGCUUGAUUUUUGUUUUUUUCGCAGCAAGAAGCCGGAGCUGUUCGAGCCUCUCAAGGCCGGCCAGUCCCCCAAGGUAUGUGCUACUGCCAUACUUCGCUCUCUUCUCACCUCCCUUGUACGCCGCUAAGUUUUUCGUCUCUAGCGACUCCGGCCGGCCAGUUUUCGGUUAUCUGUCGUACUCGUAGGUGCUGCUGCUCCCGUGAUCCUCAGCACAGAUCCUGGAUGGUUAAUUAGACAAAACCGUGUUCAGUAAAUUCGGAUUUUCCGUGGGCCUCUGGGCAACGUCCGACUGGCCCACAGAUUUGGUGCUACUCUUGCUUGCUGGUUGCCCAUCUGCCUCAGAGAACCGCGUCGCUGCUAGUACUAGGCUCUGUAGCUCAUCAGUAUCCCUGCAUUGCAAUGCACUAUUCAUCGUCCACCCUGUCGUGUCCCUGGGUGCGCACGCAGCCACGCCGGUAAGGUGAGGUCAAAGUUGCAGUAGACAAAAGGAAACCUUUGUGCCGGUACCGAGGUCAAAGUUGCAGUAGACAAAAGGAAACGGAUUGUCCUAAUUGCACGGCUUAAAACUGAGGUGACAGCUUGUCGCCAUUAUAUUAGCGGCCAAUUGGCAAGUAGUUCUGUUUGGAUAUACUACAUAACUAGUCCUAUAAUUGCUUUGUGCAACAGUGCAAGUCUGCACCAUAGGGCACAAGCUUCAGCUUUGGCACUACCAGUCAUAGCGCAAAAGAAAUGGUGUAGUGGGAUAUACAUGCAUGCUUGCAAAGCAAAAUCCUUCACAGCUCCCACCGGCCACCACUGUGCCGGGCACUAACCCCAUGUGCGGCAUGCUAGCUGGUGAUUUGCAUUUGUUUGGUAAAUUAUUGAGAUGUCGCCGUCCCUAUAUAGGCUCACUUUGCAGAUGACGGAUAUAGUAGUACGUUAGUAUUAGUAUAUUGAUUUUCCUUCAGUUGACUAGUAUAAACCUGGUGCAAGAAUCUUGCAAGUACAGAGUUUAUUGUUUUAAUUUAUAGGAGUUUUGAGCUGGCAUCGAUCCCAUGCGCCUAAUUAGUAAAUACUUCAUGAAAUGCAUGCAUGCAUGGUAUAGCUAGCUGGUUCUACUGGUUUUUCCUACCCAUGAAAAUUACUAGUAGUCAAAUAUUCUUUGUAGUAAAGGAGAAGAUAAAAGCAGUCUAAUUUGGCGUACUCAGUCUGUGGAAAACAAAGAACUACUCUGCACAUUGUUUGAAUUAUAAUGGUCACUUCCACCUACUAGCCGUGUUGAAUUCUUUUUUUGAACAUAUGGUCACUUUCAUCAUUACAUUUGAAGGGGCAGCAACAGAUGGUGGUGACCAGCCAUUUCAGAUGUCUCAUCAUUUCGAUUUUUUUGUUUGACACUCACAUACACAACACAAACACAAAGAGACGUGAACCCCAAGUCUCCUUUACCUUAUAUGAUAGAACAGAAAUAAUGCAAGGGGAGCCAUGUACUAGAUAAGAACAGGUGUGUAUUAGCAUUCAUCAUUCCAUGGCUAAUGUGUGGUCCAGCCAUGAUUGAGCACAGGCCCCACCAUUCACCUCACGGGAUUCUUCUUUCUUCAUCGUCAGUAUAGAAGAGGAGUAGUUGGUUUGGACGUGUCCUCUCCCCUCUCCUCUCACACCCCUUGCAAAAAAGUUAGGCGCAUAAUUGUUGGGCAGCAGGGCCUAUUGGCGGUUGCUUUAGCAUUGAGAACACUGUGUAUUCGCAUCCAUAUCUCACUGGACAUGCCGAUCCUCGAGAAAAUAUGCUUUACUACACUACAGAUGUAUGUCUCAGAGUAUAUAUACACAAAAAAUAGUGGAAGAUGAUUGCAUUACGCCAUGGGUCCUAAUCACCUUUGUAUCCCCGGGUCCCUUUCCAAAUCAUGGCCUCCCAAGUCCCAAGUGUGAGCUAAUCCAAGCCAGAACAAAUAUUCCAGCGUCCUGCCUCCCGAAGACUCCUGAUGGCUGAUGCUGCUCUUUGCCGUCAAAUUAAAGCUUAAUCUGCACUAUUGAUUUGGACACCCACAUCCCAGGGCCACAUAAACCCGUCACAUGAAAUUCGUUAUCUGUUCAUUCACUUAUAUGCAUAUAUGCAGCCUCCCUUUUGCCUACCAACUUGGCCGGAAAUAUUCUUGCUUGGCAGCCGGGAAUAGGAUAGAUAAGCGUGUUUUUCCUUGGCCGCUGAUCUGCCCCGGGAGCACACGGAAACCAGCUUAGAAUAUCCUCGUCGCAACUUGUACUAGUAGCACGGAAGGAACCUUCCUGCAGCCUGGAUUUUGUCCAUCCUGCCCCUGUAAAAAAAAGAGCAUUGGAACAACAAAGACAGGCGGGUCAAAACUCACAAAAGCUGCCGCCUUUUGGCUUUGGUUGCCAGCUUGCAAAUCCACCACAGCCAGAAUCGUGUAGUACUCCACUGAUCAGGACCGAUCUGCCUACCUGCUUAUCGAUAAGAGCCGUGGGAACUGGACUGAAUUUUGCCGGCUCUCCCUCUUUUCACCGACCUCUGAUGGUGAUCUUCCUCUGCUAACACGCAGUACAUGGUGUUUGCGUGCUCCGACUCCCGUGUGUGCCCGUCGGUGACCCUGGGUCUGCAGCCCGGUGAGGCCUUCACCGUCCGCAACAUCGCCGCCAUGGUCCCAGCCUACGACAAGGUACGCGUCCACACUGACCGACGCAUUGGACGUCUAAUUUUUUCAAGCCCGGCCGCCGUGGAACAUUGACGGACGACUAACAUGGUUGCCUUUCGUUUUUGUCACCUGCAGACCAAGUACACCGGCAUUGGGUCUGCCAUUGAGUACGCCGUGUGCGCCCUCAAGGUGCAGGUCCUCGUCGUCAUUGGCCACAGCUGCUGUGGUGGCAUCAGGGCGCUCCUCUCCCUCCAGGAUGGCGCACCUGACACCUUGUAAGUCAUCAUCCCUAGAAUAUAUACAAAUUUCAUUUAGGUUAAGAAACAAGACUCGUGUGCCUCGAUCGAUCUCGUGUCAUGAAUUUGAUCCUAGCAUUGUUGUCCGUUUGUUUGGUGGUGUAUGUACGCAGCCACUUCGUUGAGGACUGGGUCAGGAUCGGCUUCCCUGCCAAGAUCAAGGUGAAGAAAGAGCACGCUUCGGUGCCGUUCGAUGACCAGUGUUCCAUCCUGGAGAAGGUACGUACACCGUACACGCACGAGCUGUUAGUUAUUGGAUGAAUAAUGGAUUGGUUUUGCUCACCAAAGGACCUUGUAUUUUCUGAAUAUUUGUGCAGGAGGCCGUGAACGUGUCCCUCGACAACCUCAAGACGUACCCCUUCGUCAAGGAAGGGCUGGCCAACGGGACCCUCAGGCUGGUCGGCGGCCACUACAACUUCGUGUCAGGGGAGUUCGACACAUGGGAAAUUAAGAGCUAAGCUGCCCGGCCGGCCGCUUAACAACUCCUACCAUCAUCAUAAAUAUAUAUACUACAUACCUACCGAUAUGCACCCGAUCGAUGUGAAUGCGUGGAGUAUUACUCAUGUUUUCUGCAUGCAGCGACAUAUAUAUAUAUAUACCGGAUCGCCCAAUGUGAAUGUAAUAAGUAAUAGCAUUUUCUACCGCUUUUAUUUCUAACGCCGAGCUUUCAUGUACUAUAUAAUGUGUUAUAUGAUGAGUAAUUUGACCGCCCUGUGGUCAAAAGACAUCAGCUAUAAUCCUUUUUUCGCAAUAUUUAUUAUGAAGCGUUUACCUCUUGUACUGCCUUUACUGUUCAUCUUUUCUGUCUCUCUAUGAAAUGCUGAUAUAUGACACCAUUUAUGUGAG
rnacentral:lncRNA from 1 species